GAUGAACGCUGGCGGCGUGCCUAAUACAUGCAAGUCGAGCGAACAGACGAGGAGCUUGCUCCUUUGACGUUAGCGGCGGACGGGUGAGUAACACGUAGUUAACCUACCUAUAAGACUGGGAUAACUUCGGGAAACCGGAGCUAAUACCGGAUAAUAUUUCGAACCGCAUGGUUCGAUAGUGAAAGAUGGCUUUGCUAUCACUUAUAGAUGGACCUGCGCCGUAUUAGCUAGUUGGUAAGGUAACGGCUUACCAAGGCAACGAUACGUAGCCGACCUGAGAGGGUGAGUGGCCACACUGGAAGUGAGACCGGGUCCAGAGGCCUACGGGAGGGAGCAGUAGGGAAUCUUCCGGAAUGGGCGAAAGCCUGACGGAGCAACGCCGAGUGAGUGAUGAAGGUCUUCGGGUCGUAAAACUCUGUUAUUAGGUAGGAACCAACGUGUAAGUAACUGGGCACGUAUUGACGGUACCUAAUAAGAGAGCCACGGCUAACUACGUG
rnacentral:rRNA from 1 species